GGUUGCCCGAGUGGUAGCUCCAAAGAAGGAAGCUUUGGCUGCUGCUGAGGCUGAGUUAGCUGUGGCUAUGGAGGUUGACGUUAAAAAAUUGAGGAUUCUUCGCAUCGGGAGACCUUUAUUAUUCGAUGUUCGCGACGUGUUAAUCUGAAGGAGGUCAUCACUAGAAAGGCUGUAAACGUUCGUCGUCCUCUACUAGGGUUUGGAGAAGAAGCGGUCUGCGCUUCGUGAAGUCCAGGCUAAACUCGCGAGAUUGCAGGAGAAAUUUGAAGCAAACGUGAAAA